UAGAGUUUGAUCAUGGCUCAGAUUGAACGCUGGAGGUAUGCUUAACACAUGCAAGUCGAACGCGAACGUUACUUCGGUAACAAGUAGAGUGGCGGACGGGUGAGUAACGCGUAGGAAUCUACCUAAGUGUGGGGGAUAACAUGGAGAAAUUCAUGCUAAUACCGCAUACGCCCCACGGGGUAAAGAGGGCCUCUUCUUGAAAGCUCUUGCAUUUAGAUGAGCCUGCGUCGGAUUAGCUUGUUGGUGAGGUAAUGGCUCACCAAGGCGACGAUCCGUAGCUGGUCUGAGAGGAUGAUCAGCCACACUGGGACUGAGACACGGCCCAGACUCCUACGGGAGGCAGCAGUGGGGAAUAUUGGACAAUGGGCGCAAGCCUGAUCCAGCAAUACCUCGUGUGUGAAGAA
rnacentral:rRNA from 1 species